AGAGCAGAGAGGCCCGCGAGAGGGAAAGCUGGCCCAGGCCCAGGGCAGGCUCGCCUCUGACUCUGCAGGGACAUUAUUCCCUCCCAGCCAGCAGGGAACUUCUGGAACUUCUAAACAGCACAUCCUCGAGCCAGCCCAGGCCCCCACAGCAUCCUGCACCCCAGGUUUACAAGCUUUUUAAUGAAAUCAGAGCACCACAGCCAGCUCUAGCCCAGAGGGAAAGUAAGAGGAUGUUUCUGCAGCAGCUGUCCUUUCUCCUGUAACUACUAAACUGUCGCCCCUCACUAAAGAGGAUGGCUUUGCCUAUGCUGUCCCCACCCCUUGAAGCGAGCUUCCUCCUCUAUUGGGAUAGGUAACUCUCUUUUCUUCAAUAAUUCUUUAAUGUUAUAAAAUACCUGCCAGUGUUCACAUUUCCCUGAAUGAUUUUUAAUUCUUUUUCCUUUUUUAGUAUGUUUGUUUGAAGUAGGAAUCUAAACAAGAUCUAUAUAUUGUGAUUAAUUGAUAUGUCUCCGAAGUCUC
rnacentral:lncRNA from 1 species